rnacentral:tRNA from 1 species
GUAGGUGUGGUGAAGUGGUUAACACGUGCGACUGUGAAUCGCAUAUUCGCGGGUUCAAAUCCCGUCAUCUACCCCA